ACUCCACACUUGCAGCUUCUCUCCCAUUUGUUUCACUCUCUUCCUGCUACUCCUCUCUCGCAAGCCUUUCUUUUCUCAUCUAUUUCUCUUCAAAUCCAACUCCAUAGACAAAUUAUUCUCGAGGGUUCCAUUUCAUAUUCGGUGCUUGGUCCAAAAAUACCAAAGAGAGUUGCUCCUGCAAUUGAGGAUCAGGUUCUGGGUUUUGAUUCUGGUAUUUGGAGAGCUGAGUCUCUCUUUCUGCCUUUUUGUUUUGGAUAGAGAUUUUUUGCCAUGGAGGCUUAUAAAAGAUGGGUGAGGAGGAACAAAGAUUACGUGCACUCACUAGAAUCUCUUGCCAAUGGCUUGACGUGGCUUCUUCCUGAACGGUUUUCUGCUUCAGAGAUAGGACCAGAAGCAGUAACUGCUAUCUUGGGCGUAAUCACUGCUAUCAAUGAGCACAUUAUCGAUACAGCGCCAACCCAGUGGCAGGAUAGCUCUGCAGAGCCAUAUCAUUUUCCUUAUUCAUUGUGCAUAUCUGCAAUAAAGGACUUGGAAACACUAGUUGAAGUUACAGCGCAACACUAUUAUGGUGAAGAUAAGAAAUGGAAUUUCUUAGCUGUUACAGAAGCUCUGAAGGUGUUGGUUAGGCUGGCUUUGUUUUGGAAUAGUGGAUAUAAGAUCCUUUUGCAUGGUGGAGAGACACCAAAUCUCGAAAAGCAUUCAAAUUUAUGUUCUCAGCAAACUGUUGGUGGUUUCUCAAAGCCUGCAAACCAUCAUGGGCCUAGUCAUUUACGAGAUAUUAAUGGAUGGAAUCCAUGGAAUCUAGAAGGGAGGGCAUUGUCAGCAUUGAGCAGGUUUGGAGAAAAUGCUAGAAUGGUAUCUGACAGAGUAUGGUUGGUUAGGGUUCAACAUCCACAAGCAAUCAUGAAGCCUCUGUCUCCAGUGGUUGAGAGGAUGACACUUUCAACAAUAUUGUCUGAGAAAGGUUUACGAGGAGCAUUAUUUGUCAUGGGAGAGGUGCUCUAUAUCACAAGACCCCUUAUUUAUGUUUUGUUUAUCAGAAAACAUGGAAUUCGGUCGUGGAUCCCUUGGUUUUUUUCUCUGGCUGUGGAUUUUAUUGGAAUAGGCGUUCUAACACAAGUUGCAAAGUCAAUACAUGGUGGAAAAGGGCAACCAUUUCAUCUUACUGUGUCUGAAAAUGAUGAGUUAAAAAGAAGGAAAUUGUUAUGGGCUCUUUACCUAAUGAGAGAUCCAUUCUUUAGCAAGUACACCAGGCAGAGACUUGAAAGCACUGAAAAACUAAUGGAACCUGUUCCAAUUGUUGGACUUCUAACUGCAAAAAUUGUUGAGCUCGUCAUUGGAGCUCAGACUCGUUACACUUACAUGUCAGGAUCAUGAGACAAAUCGCAAGAAGUUAGUCUCUGAUGUUUUCCAAGCUUUCAGGUGAAGUAUACCACCAAAUUAUGCAGAGUGCUCAAUUGUUGUGUGCUUUGAGAUUGCUUUGGUGGUCUUCUUGAGUUCAGGCAGGAUAUAUGUGAACAUUAUGGGAAAAUUUUAUCUAGACUUAAUCUACAUGAAUUCAUAGUGUAAAUACACAGAAUUUUAUGUAGGCUUCAUUCUCACUUUACACUA